GCCUUGACAACAAUAUAUACAACAAUGUAAUUAUAUAAGGGCUAUUGUCAUUUGCAAUAUUAAUAUAUUAAAUAACUUAAUUAAAAUUUUUAUGGUGUUCUUUGGUCACUCAGUAAUUGUCUUAAUUUUCCAAUAGACUUUUACUGUCAGCAAUUUAGUUGUACAAUUAAGAUGGCUGAGCAGGACAUUGGUGCAGCAGAGGAUGCUAUGUUCCAUGCAGACCUGCUUUUGGCUCAAAUGAAAGAAAAACAAGAUGAGAAAAGUGCAACCCUAACGGUGAGAGUAAAUUUAAGUGGAUUGAGAGAGACUGUGAAGGUCGUACACUGCUGAAAAGAAAGAGCAGAAGCGGAAAAACGUGUAUGCGUUCUUCAGCUACAGUCCUGAAUCCUUGUGACCCAGCUGAGGAGGUACCCAUGGUGACAGAACAAAACAUGUCUCAACACUUACUUGACAGUGAGAUGCAGAAACUGCAGGAUA